CCUACGGGGUGCUGCAGUGGGGAAUAUUGGACAAUGGGGGAAACCCUGAUCCAGCAAUGCCGCGUGUGUGAAGAAGGCCUGCGGGUUGUAAAGCACUUUCGGUUGGGAAGAAAAGUUUGGCGCCAAUACCGCCGAACCUUGACGUUACUGACAGAAGAAGCACCGGCUAACUCUGUGCCAGCAGCCGCGGUAAUACAGAGGGUGCAAGUGUUCGUAGGAAUUGCGUAGGGUAAAGCGCACGUAGGUGGUGAAAUCCCCGGGCUUAACCUGGGAACUGCAUUCGAUACUGCAUGGCUAGAGUAUGGUAGAGGGAAGUGGAAUUUCCGGUGUAGCGGUGAAAUGCGUAGAUAUCGGAAGGAACACCAAUGGCGAAGGCAGCUUCCUGGACUAAUACUGACACUGAGGCACGAAAGCGUGGGUAGCAAACAGGAUUAGAUACCCCAGUAGUC
rnacentral:rRNA from 1 species